UACAGAGGGUGCGAGCGUUGUCCGGAAUCACUGGGCGUAAAGGGCGCGUAGGCGGUUCCGUAAGUCGUGAAGUCAAAUCUCUGGGCUCAACCCAGAAUCGCUUCCGAUACUGCGGUGACUGGAGUCCGGUAGGGGAGUGUGGAAUUCCUGGUGUAGCGGUGAAAUGCGCAGAUAUCGGGAGGAACACCUGUGGCGAAAGCGGCUCACUGGACCACAACUGACGCUGAGGCGCGAAAGCUAGGGGAGCAAACAGG
rnacentral:rRNA from 1 species